UACGUAGGGUGCGAGCGUUACUCGGAAUUACUGGGCGUAAAGCGGGCGCAGGCGGCUUUGCAAGACAGAGGUGAAAUCCCCGGGCUCAACCUGGGAACUGCCUUUGUGACUGCAAGGCUAGAGUACGGCAGAGGGGGAUGGAAUUCCGCGUGUAGCAGUGAAAUGCGUAGAUAUGCGGAGGAACACCGAUGGCGAAGGCAAGCCCCUGGGCCUGUACUGACGCUCAUGCACGAAAGCGUGGGGAGCAAACAGG
rnacentral:rRNA from 1 species